AUUGAACGCUGGCGGCAUGCCUUACACAUGCAAGUCGAACGGCAGCACGGGAGCUUGCUCCUGGUGGCGAGUGGCGAACGGGUGAGUAAUACAUCGGAACGUACCCAGGAGUGGGGGAUAACGUAGCGAAAGUUACGCUAAUACCGCAUAUUCUGUGAGCAGGAAAGCGGGGGAUCGCAAGACCUCGCGCUCUUGGAGCGGCCGAUGUCGGAUUAGCUAGUUGGUGAGGUAAAGGCUCACCGAGGCGACGAUCCGUAGCAGGUCUGAGAGGAUGAUCUGCCACACUGGGACUGAGACACGGCCCAGACUCCUACGGGAGGCAGCAGUGGGGAAUUUUGGACAAUGGGGGCAACCCUGAUCCAGCCACGCCGCGUGAGUGAAGAAGGCCUUCGGGUUGUAAAGCUCUUUCGGCGGGGAAGAAAUGGCAACGGCUAAUAUCCGUUGUUGAUGACGGUACCCGCAUAAGAAGCACCGGCUAACUACGUGCCAGCAGCCGCCGUAA
rnacentral:rRNA from 1 species